AGAGUUUGAUCCUGGCUCAGAACGAACGCUGGCGGCAGGCCUAACACAUGCAAGUCGAACGAGCUGGGACCUUCGGGUCCCGAUGCUAGUGGCGCACGGGUGAGUAACACGUGGGAAUCUACCUGUAGUACGGAAUAACUGAGGGAAACUUCAGCUAAUACCGUAUGCCUCCUUCGGGAGAAAGAUUUAUCGCUAUAGGA
rnacentral:rRNA from 1 species